rnacentral:lncRNA from 1 species
GGGACACUGCCGGUGUGUUGUGGAUAUCUAAGAUGGAUGCCGGCAAUGUGGGAAGCCAUAUAAAGAGGGAUUUUGCAGGCUUUCAGUUGUUGGUUGUCGGUAAUCCUUGCUCUCGGCUAUCUGCAUAUGUGCAGGGCGACAGCUGCCAGAUGCGGAAGUGGUCGCUUCCCGGGAGGAUAUUCCCGAGGCAGACAGCACUUUGCGGCAACACAACAGCAGGUCAGUGCCAGUCAAUCAAGUCGGUGUGCGGGUAGGCCGGCUCUUCAACCCUCACGAAACGGCUCAGGAUGGCCGAACCCCCAGAAGGAACACAGCAGGUAGCUGUAGUGGUCUUGGCAGCCACUAGCGCCAUGGAGACUGGUGACCUAGUGGUUAUUCGGCCGCUUUUAUCACCGCAGACCAGAGGAUGGCUCUCCGGCAGCAGAAUCCUGUGAUGGAGGGGACCGUUGGUUUUUGAAAGUCUUGGUUCCCUUCCGUACCCGCCAAUGUAUUCAUGCAGGCCUGCAGGACCGAGGGUGCGGCCUCGCCGCCAUGAGCAUCUGGCAUGGAUGGGAGGCAGAGAGAGCAAGAGCCGCAAAAGCUGCUUGGCGCUCUUCCUCCGCAAACAAGCUUGGAUUACCCUUACUGCCCAGUCCAGCGGCCAGCCUCGUCCUUCCAACCAAGACCUGACCAGGCAGUGAACACGG